rnacentral:misc_RNA from 1 species
CUCCAUUAUUAGCAAUCUUCUCUUCUCCUUUGAAGCAAUAGAGACACAACACUGUUUUGCUCUCUCUCUUUCUCUUAAGCUCUUUAUGUUUCCUUAAAAUCAUUUCACAAUACACAAGACUCAGUUUCUUGUGUUUCUUCUCUUCCCUGGCAUGAAGAAAGUGCUCUGCUUCAUUUGCCAUUUUUGCUAUGAAGUAUAUAAGAUCCAACAGCUUGAAAAGGCUUUUCUCAUUAAAAAGACGAGGCCUUGAAGAAGGAAUCAUCACUCUAGAAGACAACAAUGGAAUAUCUAACUCUAAGUUUGUUCAAGAACCAGGGCAUUCUCCAAUACCUGCUUGGAAAUGCUUCUCUUAUCAAGAAAUCUUUGAGGCCACCAAUGCUUUUAGCUCAGAGAACCUGGUGGGGCAAGGAGGAUAUGCAGAGGUUUACAGGGGAGUUUUAAGAGAGGGACAGAAGAUUGCAGUAAAAAGGUUAACAAAAGCUUGUAAUGAUGAGAGGAAAGAGAAGGAGUUCCUGACAGAGAUUGGAACAAUUGGCCAUGCGUCUCAUCCCAAUGUGUUGUCUCUUUUAGGAUGUUGCAUUGACAAUGGGCUUUAUCUCAUCUUCCAUUUCUCCUCUAGAGGCUCUGUUGGUUCCCUUCUCCAUGAUGAGAAAAUUCCAGUUAUGGAUUGGAAAACAAGAUACAAGAUUGCCAUUGGGACUGCCAGAGGGCUCCAUUACUUACACAAGGGAUGUCAAAGAAGGAUUAUUCACAGAGACAUUAAAUCUUCAAAUAUUCUGUUGACAACUGAUUUUGAACCACUGAUUUCUGAUUUUGGUUUGGCAAAAUGGCUUCCAUCUCAAUGGACUCACCAUUCAAUCGCUCCAAUUGAAGGAACAUUUG